GCUACACACGUGCUACAAUGGCGCAUACAAAGAGAAGCGACCUCGCGAGAGCAAGCGAACCUCAUAAAGUGCGUCGUAGUCCGGAUUGGAGUCUGCAACUCGACUCCAUGAAGUCGGAAUCGCUAGUAAUCGUGGAUCAGAAUGCCACGGUGAAUACGUUCCCGGGCCUUGUACACACCGCCCGUCACACCAUGGGAGUGGGUUGCAAAAGAAGUAGGUAGCUUAACCUUCGGGAGGGCGCUUACCACUUUGUGAUUCAUGACUGGGGUGAAGUCGUAACAAGGUAACCGUAGGGGAACCUGCGGUUGGAUCACCUCCUUACCUUAAAGAAGC
rnacentral:rRNA from 1 species